rnacentral:rRNA from 1 species
UACGUAGGGUGCGAGCGUUAAUCGGAAUUACUGGGCGUAAAGUGUGCGCAGGCGGCCGCGCAAGUCGAGUGUGAAAGCCCCGAGCUUAACUUGGGAAUUGCGCUCGAAACUACGUGGCUGGAGUGUGGCAGAGGAAGGUGGAAUUCCAGGUGUAGCGGUGAAAUGCGUAGAGAUCUGGAGGAACACCGAUGGCGAAGGCAGCCUUCUGGGCCAACACUGAACGCU